rnacentral:rRNA from 1 species
AUUGAACGCUGGCGGUAUGCUUAACACAUGCAAGUCGAACGGUAGCAGGCCUUCGGGCGCUGACGAGUGGCGGACGGGUGAGUAACGCGUAGGAAUCUGCCUCAUAGUGGGGGACAACGUGGGGAAACUCACGCUAAUACCGCAUACGCCCUACGGGGAAAGGCGGGGGAGUCUUCGGACCUCGCGCUAUGAGAUGAGCCUGCGUUAGAUUAGCUAGUUGGUAGGGUAAAGGCCUACCAAGGCGACGAUCUAUAGCUGGUCUGAGAGGACGAUCAGCCACACUGGGACUGAGACACGGCCCACGACUCCUACGGGAGGCAGCAGUGGGGAAUAUUGGACAAUGGGCGCAAGCCUGAUCCAGCAAUACCGCGUGUGUGAAGAAGGCCUUAGGUUGUAAAGCACUUUCAAUUGGGAGGAAAACCUAGUCGGUCAAUACCCGGCAGCUUGACAUUACC